rnacentral:lncRNA from 1 species
AACCAUUUUGAACCCGUUAUCAUCCUACCACAACCAACAAAAAGAUUUACAUAACUAAUUUGAACCCGUUGCUGAAUAAAUCACUAACAACUGAGACCCCUAUUUUUACUUAAAAUUGUCACCACAUAUGAAAUUAAGGAAACAAUUCUACACUCCCGAAAAGGACCAUUAAAUUUUUCAGUGUCAGAGCGCCACCGGAUUAUCGUUAAAUAAAACAUACCUUCAAAUUAUAAAGUUUUCUAAAUAAAAAAAAAACAAAAACAUAAAACUCAAUCCUGAUCUCCCCGCUUCAUCCUCUAGCUUAAUAAAAUUUAAAAAAAAAAUCACCUUAGAUUGAACUACCAUUGAGGUAUAUUUAGUCAUUUGAUCACGCCAAAUAGAAUGGCCACCAAAAUAAAAAAUUCAUUUUUAUUACAUUUAAAAAAAAACUAAAAUGAAAAGACAGCAUGAUGGUCACAUCAUUCUCUAUAACUUCACCAAAUAAAAUAAUAAUUUUAGUUUUAAAAUAAAAAUAAAAAUAACUUUAAAAAAAAUUCUAACAUAAUAAAGGUGGUGGCGCCAAUCUAUUUGGCUCCAUUAUUGGAAUGGUAUUUAUACAAGUCACGCCAAAUAGAUUGGCUCUAGACCUGUCCAUGGGCUAGCCUGAAGGCUCACCCAAAAAAUGGGAGGAUUUUGGUAAAAAUAUAAACUCG